AUGUGUCACAGGACAAAGCUUGCAUUCAUGGUGGUGAGAGAUAGGCUAAUAGUGUUGGUUCUCUUCAGUUCAGAGACUGGGACAGUCUGAGCCUUCAUGUAGCCAAGUCAGGAGCAGCUGGUCAACGGUCCCAAAGUGGUAACAUGUUAGAUUCCAAGAAGGCUUUCUGCAGCGCCCGAGCAGUAGUCCCAAGCAGCCGCUCCGCUCAGGUGCAGCACGCUGACCAGGGAACUCGGUGGGACCCUCAAAUGAGGAUUUCUGCUGGCCCUAGAGCCUGACUUGCCCACCCAGGCAAGGAGCUGAGGAGGGCAUCUCCCGGCUCCGUCUCACCAAAGAGCGGACACCUGGAAGCUGUGCAGCCAACAGCGCUGGAGCUGAGAGCCAAGUCACAACGCAACAAGCAAGGGCAGUCGAGCGGUCACAGUACCGCAAAGCAGCCAGCAUGCUGAAGGGGCCGAGCCGCCUGCAGGCACAGAACUGCACCCAUUCACCUUCUGUCUGAUGCCAGAACCACACUGCACAGUCCAGCUGCUUGUGGACUCUUCUUGUGUGUCAGUUACAGCUUCCUUUGUAAAAUAUUCCAAGGAAGAUACAGUUCAACCAAAGCGUAACCAAAAGUCAGUGCCAGACUAAAGAAGGCAGGUCAGGGGAGAAGCCAGGACCCGUCUUUCCAGUUGAGGAAGAAUCUUGGUUUCUAGGUCAUUUACAAGCAGCACUCCAGGCUUCGUAAGGAAACCGGGAGGGAGUGGAGGCAGAUCCAUCACCUAUACACCGCAUAUGGAGGACCGAACCUUCCCAAAUUUCUGAUAAAAGUCUUCCUCUGCCUGGGCCAAGGCGUCUUCAUCAAUGUACACAGCCGGCCUUUUGGCCACGAGGAAGUACUGCACCUUCCUGCGAUUCCAGCCCAGCACGUACUGGAGCCAGCCGCAGACGGCGGCGGUGGAGCGGCCCACCCCGGCGUUGCAGUGCACGUACACGGUGUGUCCAUUCUCAAGCAGCGCGUGGAGGAGACACACCGCCUGCGGCAGCAUCUGGACGCGGCCUGGGAUUGAGAGAGCACAGCACAGACCAGUGAGAAGUGAACCCCGUGUUGCCGCUAACAGUCACUCCUCCAGCGCACCGAGAAAUCACAAUGUUUUGGCGGGAGGGGCAGGGAUGUCGGAGCUUGCUUCACUCCUUUGUUUUGAAAGAAAAGGUGAGACAAUAUCAAAACCUGCUAAUUAUAAAGUGGAAAGAGCAGCCAGAGGCAAUAGGUCAGCUCUGAAUCUUCACUUGAUUUUCCUUUGAAUGAUGUCUGCAUCCGUGCAAAUCUCCCUUCAAAGAUAAUUUCACUACCGCCUAUCCUCAGAAGAAUGGAUUUUUACAUCCAUCAGAAUGGUCUGUACAGAUUGGGCAGAGGUUUAAAGGAUUUCAAAGAGAAGCUCACAGGUCCUGUCACCUGAAUUUCCUUUAAUCCAAAAGGAUCUUCCAGGUGUUGCUGCUCUAUGGCUACUAUCUUGAUGAUUAGAUGAUCCAAUGUCUUCCCCUCGUCACACUGAGACAGGAUAUACAAUGCUCUGAUGAGGCUCGUUGGACUCAGGCCCUUUUCGUAAUCCUAGGGACAGAGAGCCCCCUAAAACCAGCAAACUCCUGGAUGCCUGGAGUUUCUUCUGCUCACAGAUUCUCAGAGCAAAAUGAAUUUAGUGGAUUUUUUUGGAGAGUGGAGGAUGGUCAUUAUAAAUUACUUCAAGAAGGGAUUAAAGAGGGAAACUAUACAGAGUCCUGGAUGAAAACUCUGUGCUAUGACCUCACAUUCUCCAGCUGCUCUCUGUCCUCAACCACAUGGAGACACCACAGCCCUGGGGCGACCUUCCAAGGGCCACAGAGAAUGCCCUGUCCAGCCCUCACAUUGCCAUCCCGUUGGAUGACGGCAGAGGUGGGAAAAACCCCUCCCUCAAAUGAUUUCAUGAGGCCUGGAAUUCUCCCAUGAGAGCUGCUCAAGAGGAGCUGCUGCCGAGUCCCAGAGUCAAGGUUCAGCUUUUGCAGCAUCAGUGGGGCCAGCCUGCCCCGGCCACGUCUAUAUGGACCCAUCGGGAUCCCUUCCGCUGACCUUCAUUCUGGCCAGAGGUUCCCCAAGGAAGGGUCUGCACCAAAUGGCUGAAAUGACCUAGUAUCUCCUCCUCUCCUUUUUAUCUGUAAAAGAUUCUUCAACAGGCUAAUCCAACUCUGGAAUGAUUAAAAGCUACCUGAAAACAUGCAAUGAGCAAGCAAGCACAGGAUAACGGUGCUCUAAGAUGACAACCAAAGAAGCGAAAAUCAAAACACUCCCUAGAGGCUACAGGCACACUGUCCUAACGACCUUCUCUAUUUUGAAACCAGAGAAACAAACUGGACAGGGCAAAUAUGACCUAGAUUCGACCACUGCUCUUCUCUGCAAACAAGGUGUUUUUUUUUUUUUUUUCAAUUCCUUGAAAAAAGACAGAGCUCUUGCAGCUGAAUCAAGCUCCUUUGGAUCAGCAUUAAUUACCAAGAAGAGUAACCAAACUAUCUCCUCCUUCAGGAAGAAAAAUUAUACAUCCCCAGUGAUAGUUCAGUUCAGACGGACCCACAAAGGGGUCUAGCCCGGCCAGGAGGACCAUAAAGAUUCAUUAAGAGCCAAGAUGGCCAAGGUCCUGGGACACUCUGGGGUGACAAGCUGCCUCCCUGGAAACUCAUGACUUUGUCUAACUCCAGCUGACGAUGUACGUGACAGGCUGAAAGUGCGGGCGGUGGUCUGCAGAAGGGGCAUGAAGAGUCCACGUGAGCAUGUAGAGAAGCUUCAUCAUAUGGUGUCAGGAGCAAUGCUCUGCGCCUGACUGCCUGGGGUGGAAUCCAGCCUGUGUCUCUGCUAUAUGACAUAGGCCAGGUUACUUAACUUUUUUGUACCUCAUUCUCUUCCUCUGCAAAAUGCAGAUAACUACAACAUCUGCCUGGACUCUUGUCUUGAGAAUUAAAUGAGUUAAUGUAUGAAAUUACUGAGAAGAGUGUUUGAUACGUAAUGUACUUUGCGGGGAAGAGGGCUCAUCGUAGAGACGCUUCCUCCCUGGCCAUCACUGUCUUCCUUCUUUCCCCCAGAAUAGCAGUUCACCAAACUCCCUCAGCCUGCGCCAGUCCAUAGCUCUCUGCUGCCCCCUGGUGACAUCUGGUUGAUAUUAUUCGUGUGACUUGUUCUCUUGGCUUCACUCCUUUCUACAAACAAGAACCCUCCUCCACAGCCAGGCUGAAAUUCAGAUCGUUCCUCUAAAACACCAUGCUUCUGUGCCUCGGUUGUUUCUUCCACCUGGCACGCUCUUUCUCCCUCUACCUUGACCUGCCACGCCCACCUCAAAUCCCAGGAGACUCACGUAGCCUCCCUGCGCUCCGCCGUAAAAGUGCUCCUCCCACGCCAUAACCCUCGUAGUGCGCAGGAUUCAUCCCUCUCAUCACAUUCUUCUUUCUACUAUAAUUAGUUUUGAACUUGCCUUACUGCCUCUUACCAUGAGAUCAAAAGUGUGCCUUUGGCUUCCUUGGUGGUGCAAUGGUUAAGAAUCCGCCUGCCAGUGCAGGGGACACGGGUUAGAGCUCUGGUCCGGGAAGAUCCCACAUGCCGCGGAGCAACUAAGCCCGUGAGCCACAACUACUAGCCUGCGCUCUAGAGCCCGCGAGCCACAACUACUGAGCCCACGUGCCACAACUACUGAAGCCCGCACGCCUAGAGCCCAUGCUCCAGAACAAGAGAAGCCAGCACAGUGAGAAGCCCGCGCACCGCAACGAAGAGUAGCCCCCGCUCGCCGCAACUAGAGAAAGCCCGCGCACAGCAACGAAGACCCA